rnacentral:rRNA from 1 species
CGCGGUGGCGGCAGCUAUACAUGCAAGUCGACGCUUCUUUUUCCACCGGAGCUUGCUCCACCGGAAAAAGAGGAGUGGCGAACGGGUGAGUAACACGUGGGUAACCUGCCCAUCAGAAGGGGAUAACACUUGGAAACAGGUGCUAAUACCGUAUAACAAUCGAAACCGCAUGGUUUUGAUUUGAAAGGCGCUUUCGGGUGUCGCUGAUGGAUGGACCCGCGGUGCAUUAGCUAGUUGGUGAGGUAACGGCUCACCAAGGCGACGAUGCAUAGCCGACCUGAGAGGGUGAUCGGCCACAUUGGGACUGAGACACGGCCCAAACUCCUACGGGAGGCAGCAGUAGGGAAUCUUCGGCAAUGGACGAAAGUCUGACCGAGCAACGCCGCGUGAGUGAAGAAGGUUUUCGGAUCGUAAAACUCUGUUGUUAGAGAAGAACAAGGAUGAGAGUAACUGUUCAUCCCUUGACGGUAUCUAACCAGAAAGCCACGGCUAACUACGUGCCAGCAGCCGCGGUAAUACGUAGGUGGCAAGCGUUGUCCGGAUUUAUUGGGCGUAAAGCGAGCGCAGGCGGUUUCUUAAGUCUGAUGUGAAAGCCCCCGGCUCAACCGGGGAGGGUCAUUGGAAACUGGGAGACUUGAGUGCAGAAGAGGAGAGUGGAAUUCCAUGUGUAGCGGUGAAAUGCGUAGAUAUAUGGAGGAACACCAGUGGCGAAGGCGGCUCUCUGGUCUGUAACUGACGCUGAGGCUCGAAAGCGUGGGGAGCAAACAGGAUUAGAUACCCUGGUAGUCCACGCCGUAAACGAUGAGUGCUAAGUGUUGGAGGGUUUCCGCCCUUCAGUGCUGCAGCUAACGCAUUAAGCACUCCGCCUGGGGAGUACGACCGCAAGGUUGAAACUCAAAGGAAUUGACGGGGGCCCGCACAAGCGGUGGAGCAUGUGGUUUAAUUCGAAGCAACGCGAAGAACCUUACCAGGUCUUGACAUCCUUUGACCACUCUAGAGAUAGAGCUUCCCCUUUCGGGGGCAAAGUGACAGGUGGUGCAUGGUUUGUCGUCAGCUCGUGUCGUGAGAAUGUUGGGUUAAGUCCCCGCAACGAGCGCAACCCUUAUUGUUAGUUGCCAUCAUUUAGUUGGGCACUCUAGCAAGACUGCCGGUGACAAACCGGAGGAAGGUGGGGAUGACGUCAAAUCAUCAUGCCCCUUAUGACCUGGGCUACACACGUGCUACAAUGGGAAGUACAACGAGUCGCAAAGUCGCGAGGCUAAGCUAAUCUCUUAAAGCUUCUCUCAGUUCGGAUUGUAGGCUGCAACUCGCCUACAUGAAGCCGGAAUCGCUAGUAAUCGCGGAUCAGCACGCCGCGGUGAAUACGUUCCCGGGCCUUGUACACACCGCCCGUCACACCACGAGAGUUUGUAACACCCGAAGUCGGUGAGGUAACCUUUGGAGCCAGCCGCCUAAGGUGAAAAAGGG